rnacentral:piRNA from 1 species
UGCGUGUCUCCUCAAGUCAUUUGAGUUUGU